rnacentral:rRNA from 1 species
AACGAACGCUGGCGGCAUGCCUAACACAUGCAAGUCGAACGAGACCUUCGGGUCUAGUGUCGCACGGGUGCGUAACGCGUGGGAACCUGCCCUUAGGUUCGGAAUAACUCCCCGAAAGGGGUGCUAAUACCGGAUAAUGUCUUCGGACCAAAGAUUUAUCGCCUUUGGAGGGGCCCGCGUUGGAUUAGCUAGUUGGUAGGGUAAAAGCCUACCAAGGCGACGAUCCAUAGCUGGUCUGAGAGGAUGAUCAGCCACACUGGGACUGAGACACGGCCCAGACUCCUACGAGAGGCAGCAGUGGGGAAUCUUGGACCAUGGGCGAAAGCCUGAUCCAGCGAUGCCGCGUGAGUGAUGAAGGCCUUAGGGUUGUAAAGCUCUUUUACCCGGGAUGAUAAUGACAGUACCGGGAGAAUAAGCUCCGGCUAACUCCGUG